rnacentral:rRNA from 1 species
GUCUGCAUGGAGCCGACCUUGAAAUACCACCCUUUAAUGUUUGAUGUUCUAACGUGGACCCGUGAUCCGGGUUGCGGACAGUGUCUGGUGGGUAGUUUGACUGGGGCGGUCUCCUCCUAAAGAGUAACGGAGGAGCACGAAGGUUGGCUAAUCCUGGUCGGACAUCAGGAGGUUAGUGCAAUGGCAUAAGCCAGCUUGACUGCGAGCGUGACGGCGCGAGCAGGUGCGAAAGCAGGUCAUAGUGAUCCGGUGGUUCUGAAUGGAAGGGCCAUCGCUCAACGGAUAAAAGGUACUCCGGGGAUAACAGGCUGAUACCGCCCAAGAGUUCAUAUCGACGGCGGUGUUUGGCACCUCGAUGUCGGCUCAUCACAUCCUGGGGCUGAAGUAGGUCCCAAGGGUAUGGCUGUUCGCCAUUUAAAGUGGUACGCGAGCUGGGUUUAGAACGUCGUGAGACAGUUCGGUCCCUAUCUGCCGUGGGCGCUGGAGAACUGAGGGGGGCUGCUCCUAGUACGAGAGGACCGGAGUGGACGCAUCACUGGUGUUCGGGUUGUCAUGCCAAUGGCACUGCCCGGUAGCUAAAUGCGGAAGAGAUAAGUGCUGAAAGCAUCUAAGCACGAAACUUGCCCCGAGAUGAGUUCUCCCUGAGACUUAAAGUCUCCUGAAGGAACGUUGAAGACGACGACGUUGAUAGGCUGGGUGUGUAAGCGCAGCGAUGCGUUGAGCUAACCGGUACUAAUGAACCGUGAGGCUUAACCUUACAACGCCGAAG